CCGUAGAUUGAACGCUGGCGGCAGGCCUAACACAUGCAAGUCGAGCGGCAGCACGGGUACUUUGUACCUGGUGGCGAGCGGCGGACGGGUGAGUAAUGCCUAGGAAUCUGCCUGGUAGUGGGGGAUAACGCUCGGAAACGGACGCUAAUACCGCAUACGUCCUACGGGAGAAAGCAGGGGACCUUCGGGCCUUGCGCUAUCAGAUGAGCCUAGGUCGGAUUAGCUAGUUGGUGAGGUAAUGGCUCACCAAGGCGACGAUCCGUAACUGGUCUGAGAGGAUGAUCAGUCACACUGGAACUGAGACACGGUCCAGACUCCUACGGGAGGCAGCAGUGGGGAAUAUUGGACAAUGGGCGAAAGCCUGAUCCAGCCAUGCCGCGUGUGUGAAGAAGGUCUUCGGAUUGUAAAGCACUUUAAGUUGGGAGGAAGGGCAGUUACCUAAUACGUAUCUGUUUUGACGUUACCGACAGAAUAAGCACCGGCUAACUCUGUGCCAGCAGCCGCGGUAAUACAGAGGGUGCAAGCGUUAAUCGGAAUUACUGGGCGUAAAGCGCGCGUAGGUGGUUUGUUAAGUUGGAUGUGAAAUCCCCGGGCUCAACCUGGGAACUGCAUUCAAAACUGACAAGCUAGAGUAUGGUAGAGGGUGGGUGGAAUUUCCUGUGUAGCGGUGAAAUGCGUAGAUAUAGGAAGGAACACCAGUGGCGAAGGCGACCACCUGGACUGAUACUGACACUGAGGUGCGAAAGCGUGGGGAGCAAACAGGAUUAGAUACCCUGGUAGUCCACGCCGUAAACGAUGUCAACUAGCCGUUGGGAGCCUUGAGCUCUUAGUGGCGCAGCUAACGCAUUAAGUUGACCGCCUGGGGAGUACGGCCGCAAGGUAAAUAGAAAAAU
rnacentral:rRNA from 1 species